GAUGAACGCUGGCGGCGUGCUUAACACAUGCAAGUCGAACGGAAAGUCCCUGCUCUUGUGGUGUGCUCGAGUGGCGAACGGGGGAGUAACCCGGGAGCAACCUGCCCUUGACCUUGCGGUAACUUCAGGUAACUGCGGCUAAUACCGCAUACGAGCUCCUGCUGCCUGGGGGGGGUUGGAAAGAUUCGGCGGGUGGGGAUGGACUCGCGGCUGAUCAGGUUGUUGGUGGGGUAGUGGCCUACCAAGGCUUUGACGGGUAGCGGGCCUGAGAGGGUGACCGGCCACAUGGGGACGGCGAUAACGGCAAGAAUCAUAAGGGAGGCAGCAGCGGGGAAUGUUGCACUAUGGGCGCAAGCCUGAUGGAGGAAUGCAGGGUGCGUGAGGACGGCCUGGGUGCUGUAAAGCGCGAUAGAGUGUGAGGAAGGGAGAGUGACGGUACCUGGUAAAGAAGCACCGGCUAACUACGUG
rnacentral:rRNA from 1 species